GAGUGGCGAACGGGUGAGUAACACGUGGGUAACCUGCCCAUCAGAAGGGGAUAACACUUGGAAACAGGUGCUAAUACCGUAUAACACUAUUUUCCGCAUGGAAGAAAGUUGAAAGGCGCUUUUGCGCCACUGAUGGAUGGACCCGCGGUGCAUUAGCUAGUUGGUGAGGUAACGGCUCACCAAGGCCACGAUGCAUAGCCGACCUGAGAGGGUGAUCGGCCACACUGGGACUGAGACACGGCCCAGACUCCUACGGGAGGCAGCAGUAGGGAAUCUUCGGCAAUGGACGAAAGUCUGACCGAGCAACGCCGUGUGAGUGAAGAAGGUUUUCGGAUCGUAAAACUCUGUUGUUAGAGAAGAACAAGGAUGAGAGUAAAACGUUCAUCCCUUGACGGUAUCUAACCAGAAAGCCACGGCUAACUACGUGCCAGCAGCCGCGGUAAUACGUAGGUGGCAAGCGUUGUCCGGAUUUAUUGGGCGUAAAGCGAGCGCAGGCGGUUUCUUAAGUCUGAUGUGAAAGCCCCCGGCUCAACCGGGGAGGGUCAUUGGAAACUGGGAGACUUGAGUGCAGAAGAGGAGAGUGGAAUUCCAUGUGUAGCGGUGAAAUGCGUAGAUAUAUGGAGGAACACCAGUGGCGAAGGCGGCUCUCUGGUCUGUAACUGACGCUGAGGCUCGAAAGCGUGGGGAGCGAACAGGAUUAGAUACCCUGGUAGUCCACGCCGUAAACGAUGAGUGCUAAGUGUUGGAGGGUUUCCGCCCUUCAGU
rnacentral:rRNA from 1 species